rnacentral:lncRNA from 1 species
UCCGAAACGGGACUCAAGGUCUUGAAAAAUGACCACAAAUGACAGAUCUGGCAUGUCUGAGUAUUUUAAGCAUAUCUCUCUUGAUCGAGAUCCGAUUUUGAUGAUUCAAAAUGUUCCGAACAGCCAAUAGAAAAUGCUACAAGUUUCGUAUUUUGCAUUUUCUGAAAUUCGGACAUUAUCAUAUCCAAAACAGACAUAGAAGUACAGACUCGUGAAUUGCACGAAAAAUCACCUACAACAAAAGUAAGAUGGUUAAUAUUUUAUCAAUUCAAAACAAGAAUAAAAUAUUUAAAAUCAACUCCCUUUCAUCUUCUGCUAAGGAGUCAUCUUCCUUGGACCAUCUUCACUCGAAAAUUUAGGUAGAACAAUCGUGCUGAUAACGUGUUAUAAAACAAGAGAAAAACAAGAAGAGAACAAGUGUGUGUAUGUAUUGUAU